GACGAACGCUGGCGGCGUGCUUAACACAUGCAAGUCGAACGAAGAGCGAUGGAAGCUUGCUUCUAUCAAUCUUAGUGGCGAACGGGUGAGUAACGCGUAAUCAACCUGCCCUUCAGAGGGGGACAACAGUUGGAAACGACUGCUAAUACCGCAUACGAUCUAAUCUCGGCAUCGAGGAUAGAUGAAAGGUGGUCUCUACAUGUAAGCCAUCACUGAAGGAGGGGAUUGCGUCUGAUUAGCUAGUUGGAGGGGCAACGGCCCACCAAGGCGAGGAUCAGUAGCCGGACUGGGAGGAUGAACGGCCGCAUUGGGACUGAGACCAGGCACAGACUGCUACGGGAGGGAGCAGGGGGGAAUCUUCCGCAAUGGACGAAAGUCUGACGAAGCAACGCCGCGUGCGGGAUGACGACCUUCGGGUUGUAAAGGACUGUUAAUCGGGACGAAAGGCCUUCUUGCGAAUAGUGAGAAGGAUUGACGGUACCGGAAUAAAAAGCCACGGCUAACUACGUG
rnacentral:rRNA from 1 species